GUGGGGAAUAUUGGACAAUGGGCGAAAGCCUGAUCCAGCCAUGCCGCGUGUGUGAAGAAGGUCUUCGGAUUGUAAAGCACUUUAAGUUGGGAGGAAGGGCAGUAAGUUAAUACCUUGCUGUUUUGACGUUACCGACAGAAUAAGCACCGGCUAACUUCGUGCCAGCAGCCGCGGUAAUACGAAGGGUGCAAGCGUUAAUCGGAAUUACUGGGCGUAAAGCGCGCGUAGGUGGUUUUGUAAGUUGGAGGUGAAAUCCCCGGGCUCAACCUGGGAACUGCCUCAAAAACUGGAUGACUAGAGUACGGUAGAGGGUAGUGGAAUUUCCUGUGUAGCGGUGAAAUGCGUAGAUAUAGGAAGGAACACCAGUGGCGAAGGCGACUACCUGGACUGAUACUGACACUGAGGUGCGAAAGCGUGGGGAGCAAACAGGAUUAGAUACCCGGGUAGUCC
rnacentral:rRNA from 1 species